UUUUAUAAUACUAUACUAUAAUACUGUAUUAUUUUAUAAUACAUUUAUAAUAAUCUCAUGCGAUUAAUGAUUAACUUCGAAUGAAAGAUAGUAGCGCAGAAUAAUUACUUGUUGAAGGUCAGAAGGUUAGUUAGGUAAGAUGUCAGUGAUCGGCCUAAGAUCAGAAAGCCGGUGAGUUAUGACGCGGAGUAUGAAGAGAGUGUUAAUUGUCUUUCUGUUUUGCUCAUUUGUUCUAGAAAUAGUUGUCGACUCUUUCUGUAGAGUAAGCUUUAUUUUUGAUGGAGGCAUUCAGCAGUGAGCAAAAGGAGAAAAACCUCUUCGCUUUGUAGAGCUUACAUUCUGGUGAGGGAGACAAACAAUUGUGUUCUAUAAAAUAUAAGAAGGUGAUAAGGAAGGUGUAGAAAAAAACAGAGUUGGAUCGGGAGGGAUAAGGAGCUUGGGGAGGCUUAUUUUCUAAGUUUAGAUAAGAUGGUCAGAAAGGCCUUCCUGGGAAGGUGAUAUUUGGGCCUAGACUUGCAGGAGGUGAGAGAACAAGUCACGGCAGCAUCUGGGGGAACAGCAGGAGAAUAAAAAGUGCAAAGGCACUGAGGCAUCAGGGAGGCCCAUGUGGUUAGAACGGAGUGAGAAAGGGGUCCUGUGGGAGGCAAGAUCCGAGAUGACCCGUGUUAGGGUGGGAGGGGUUGGGGGAAGGUGUAGGCUCACCAGAUGGUGGAUGACCCGUAAGGACUGCACCUUUUUCUCUGUGUGAUAUCAAGAUCCGUUGGGUGGUUUGAAUAGAGAAGUGAAAGUGAUUUGUUAUUUAGCUUCUUUUUAAAAAGACUACUGUCGCAGAGGUCUUGAGAAAAAAUAGUAGGAGAGCAUGGGUGGGUACAGGGGAUCCUAGCUGUAGGAAUUUGUGAACGAGGUGGACGUCCAAUGAGCACUGGACUUACGGUCUCAAGUUCUUAUUCUAGUUGGGACUCUUUCUCCGUGUUGUUGAGGGGGCCCUUUGGACAAUCACUUCAUGUUUCAAUAGAAAGGGAAAUAAAACUGAACAGAUGGUAUGUGUUUGAGGCAAAUUCCUCUUACUCUGUACGAUUUGUGGACUGCUACGGUCUUCCAGAUGGAAGACUUUGGGUAGCUGGUGGGCAAGAUGAUGGUGUUGGCAAUGGAAAGAACCACAGAUGA
rnacentral:lncRNA from 1 species